rnacentral:snoRNA from 1 species
CCUGCCCCAGAAGCAUCAGGUAUGACUGCUGGGUCAUGAGUGCAUCAGUAGGUGGCAGAGAGGAGAGAGAACCUAUGGACAUCUAAUGACUGGUAGCCUAGUGGUCUCUGAAA